rnacentral:tRNA from 1 species
GGAGGACUAGGCUAGUUGGUAAGUCAGCGGUCUUGAAAACCGUCGCCGUAAGGCUUGGGAGUUCGAGUCUCUCGUCCUCCG